UCGAGCGGUAGGCCCUUCGGGGUACACGAGCGGCGAACGGGUGAGUAACACGUGGGUGAUCUGCCUUGCACUUCGGGAUAAGCCUGGGAAACUGGGUCUAAUACCGGAUAUGACCCCGGAAUGCAUGUUCUGGGGUGGAAAGAUUUAUCGGUGCGAGAUGGGCCCGCGGCCUAUCAGCUUGUUGGUGAGGUAACGGCUCACCAAGGCGACGACGGGUAGCCGACCUGAGAGGGUGACCGGCCACACUGGGACUGAGACACGGCCCAGACUCCUACGGGAGGCAGCAGUGGGGAAUAUUGCACAAUGGGCGCAAGCCUGAUGCAGCGACGCCGCGUGCGGGAUGACGGCCUUCGGGUUGUAAACCGCUUUUGACAGGGACGAAGCGCAAGUGACUGUACCUGUAGAAUAAGGACCGGCCAACUACGUGCCAGCAGCCGCGGUAAUACGUAGGGUCCGAGCGUUGUCCGGAAUUACUGGGCGUAAAGAGCUUGUAGGCGGUUCGUCGCGUCGUUUGUGAAAACUUGGGGCUCAACCUUAAGCUUGCAGGCGAUACGGGCGGACUAGAGUACUUCAGGGGAGACUGGAAUUCCUGGUGUAGCGGUGAAAUGCGCAGAUAUCAGGAGGAACACCGGUGGCGAAGGCGGGUCUCUGGGAAGUAACUGACGCUGAGAAGCGAAAGCAUGGGUAGCAAACAGGAUUAGAUACCYUGGUAGUCCAUGCCGUAAACGGUGGGUACUAGGUGUGGGGCUCCUUCCACGGACUCCGUGCCCGUAGCUAACGCAUUAAGUACCCCGCCUGGGGAGUACGGCCGCAAGGCUAAAACUCAAAGAAAUUGACGGGGGCCCGCACAAGCGGCGGAGCAUGUGGAUUAAUUCGAUGCAACGCGAAGAACCUUACCUGGGUUUGACAUACACCGGAAACCUGCAGAGAUGUAGGCCCCCUUGUGGUCGGUGUACAGGUGGUGCAUGGCUGUCGUCAGCUCGUGUCGUGAGAUGUUGGGUUAAGUCCCGCAACGAGCGCAACCCUUAUCUUAUGUUGCCAGCGCGUAAUGGCGGGGACUCGUGAGAGACUGCCGGGGUCAACUCGGAGGAAGGUGGGGACGACGUCAAGUCAUCAUGCCCCUUAUGUCCAGGGCUUCACACAUGCUACAAUGGCCGGUACAGAGGGCUGCGAUACCGUGAGGUGGAGCGAAUCCCUUAAAGCCGGUCUCAGUUCGGAUCGGGGUCUGCAACUCGACCCCGUGAAGUUGGAGUCGCUAGUAAUCGCAGAUCAGCAACGCUGCGGUGAAUACGUUCCCGGGCCUUGUACACACCGCCCGUCACGUCAUGAAAGUCGGUAACACCCGAAGCCGGUGGCCUAACCCCUUGUGGGAGGAGCCUCAAGUGUC
rnacentral:rRNA from 1 species